AAGGAGUAAAAGUUGGGGCUGCUAACCACGACUCGGGAGUUAUUUUCCACUCCUUU
rnacentral:tRNA from 1 species